rnacentral:rRNA from 1 species
UACGGGGGGGGGCAAGCGUUGUUCGGAAUUACUGGGCGUAAAGGGCGCGUAGGCGGCCUGCUAAGUCGAACGUGAAAUCCCCGGGCUCAACCCGGGAACUGCGUCCGAUACUGGCAGGCUUGAAUUCGGGAGAGGGAUGCGGAAUUCCAGGUGUAGCGGUGAAAUGCGUAGAUAUCUGGAGGAACACCGGUGGCGAAGGCGGCAUCCUGGACCGAAAUUGACGCUGAGGCGCGAAAGCGUGGGGAGCGAACAGG